rnacentral:misc_RNA from 1 species
CAUAUCCUGAAAUGCUGGUUUUGCAUAGUUUUGCUUUUUUACAUGUUAAUUUGCGGUUGCUAAUCUUGCAAUAUACUUGCUUCAGUAUGUUUAAAUAAAUAUGAAAUGGUCAUAUGAAGAUGAAGAAAGAAUCAAUCAUGUUCAGAAUAUUUGUGUCUCAUUGUUUCGUUUGCACAAAUAAAAUUAUAGCACAAAAGCAAUGAAAAACAGAUAAAUAACUCAUGGGGUUAUUAAACCAACAGGCCUAGUGGUUUUCCUAUGUUUAUGAUGCUGUUUAAUUUAAAAUUAAAGCAAUUUGAACCUGUGACACUAAAAUUAUCACAAGAUUUUUGUUUGUUUUCUUCGUUGUUUUGUUACUUUUCUUUUCAUUUUGUUUUUUAAUGCUUUUUAGCUGGAUUGAUGAACCACUGCAACAG